UGGGGAAUAUUGCACAAUGGGGAAACCCUGAUGCAGCGACGCCGCGUGAGCGAAGAAGGCCUUCGGGUCGUAAAGCUCUUUUAUGAGGGAAGAUAAUGACGGUACCUCAAGAAAAAGCCCCGGCUAACUACGUGCCAGCAGCCGCGGUAAUACGUAGGGGGCUAGCGUUGUCCGGAAUCACUGGGCGUAAAGGGUUCGCAGGCGGAAUAACAAGUCAGAUGUGAAAGGCAUGGGCUCAACCCAUGUAAGCAUUUGAAACUGUAAUUCUUGAGAAGUGGAGAGGUAAGUGGAAUUCCUAGUGUAGCGGUGAAAUGCGUAGAUAUUAGGAGGAAUACCUGUGGCGAAGGCGACUUACUGGACACAAAUCUGACGCUGAGGAACGAAAGCGUGGGUAGCAAACAGG
rnacentral:rRNA from 1 species